CAAACUCUGCACCUAAACCCUGACGGAGUCACAAACAUGUGAAGAAGGCCCUGUCCUGAAAAAAGUCUAAUCUAAUCGUAAUUCUGAAAUAUUGCUGGAAUUAGAUGAAGUUACAGCUGUGCUCUCCUUUUGUAAAGAAAGAUGAAUGUGAGAGAAGGAGGAGUGUGACAGAAGGAGCAGCUGCAGCUCCCUCCCCUUGUGACCACUUUCUUCCAGCCCCCACCACCAUCAGCUUCUACCUCUGCAUCCCAAGGCCUCUAAGAUGCUGGACGUUUUCAUCCUAAUGUUUUUUGCCAUCAUUGGCCUAGUCCUUUUAUCAUACAUCAUCUAUAUAUUGUGAGGAUCAUGCUAACCAUAGGGCAGAUCAAGUCCUUGUCUGCAGGUAAAUGGAUGUGCCAACAUCAUCAAGACAUACAUGAAGCACCUUAAUCUAUUGUUUACCAGAGAAGUGUCUGGAAGGCAGCAAAACGAUGGGAGUUGUGGUCUAUGAAAAACCAAGAUCAUUAAGGUGUCCUUCACACAGAUGAGUGUAACACAAGAGAUGUCCAAGAUGAAGCCACCACAAAAAUGUGCAAUUUUACUACAUUUCAUGGAUCAAUGACAAUACACAAUAAACACAACAGAAAAUAAAGUUCAGGUUUUUCCUCAUGCUAUCUAUAAUUCCCAGAAGUAUAUAGAAAGAGAGCAAAAUGCCGACUUACCUAUUAACUAGCUGAAGCUCCAUCACAGAUCAUGUAUUCAUAGCAUGUUUGUUAAGUAUAUACUUUCUUUCUGUCAUUUUCACUUUUUUCACUUUGUUUCUUGGUGCAGUGUUGAAAAAAUGAUUCUGAAAACCCUCACUAAGAUAACUGCCACUGACUGAUAUUAUUACAUAUCUAUCAUAAUUCUAAAAUAAUAUUUGAAAAAUGAUGCAAUAAUAUAAUAAUAAUUAUGGCUUUUAGUCUGAGUCAAUGUUCCUAAACCUAAAUUCACACUACAUAUGGUACAUUCAAGUGAAUUUGGUUCAUUGGCACUGUUUAUUUCGGACCUGGUGCUUCAAGUAGGUUUGUCAACCCUUUUCAUACAAGUUAAGAAAACUAUAGCACUCCAAAAGUUCAGUCGUUUUAUUAUAAUUCAUGGCAAAGCAAUGUGUGAUGUUUUGGACAAAUAGUGACCUUUUCCAAACACUAUUUGCCAGAGAUAGAAGUGAGGUAGAAGAUGAUGGCACUGUAAAUAGUGAAACUUCACAGUAAUAGGCACAUAUUAUUGUGAAGUUUCACUAUUCAUAGCACCAUUAUCUUCUACUUUAUUUAGCAUGAACUUCGGAGUGCUAUAGUCUUCUUACCUACAGGUGGUGCAUGUUCAUUCUAUGAAGCAUGUCAAGUCUAUGUCAUGGACACAAAGGGGGACAUUUAUCAAAUCAGACAUGUCAGUUUUGUGACUUAAAAAAGUCGCAAGUCAUGGCGAUUGAAACAUUUGGUAAAUUUUUUGAUCCUCGCCACUUUUCAAAAUGAGCUAAAAGUGAGAUUAGAUCUGGAUUAUGUCACGUUUACUAUGUCGCAACCUACGCCAGGCAAGCCCCUGAUGUACUUUUACAUGUAAAACCACAUUGGACUCACUCCAAAUAUAUUAUUAGGUGCACCAUUUCAUAAAUUUGGUGCAGUCACACAAACCAAAGACUUAUAACACACAAAAACAAUCGCAAAUGAUAAAUGUCUCCCUUAAAGGAAACCUUUUGACAAACA